CUUGUCUCAAGACUAAGCCAUGCAUGUCCAAGUAUAAACGCUGUUAUACUGUGAAACUGCGAAUGGCUCAUUAAAUCAGUUAUAGUUUAUUUGAUGGUUUCUUGCUACUUGGAUAACCGUAGUAAUUCUAGAGCUAAUACAUGCAGAAAGUCCCGACUUCUGGAAGGGAUGUAUUUAUUAGAUCCAAAACCAGCGCGGGUCUCCUCGUGGGGCUCGGUUGCUCGGUGAUUCAUGAUAACUGCUCGAAUCGCAGGGCCUCGUGCCGGCGAUGAUCCAUUCAAAUUUCUGCCCUAUCAACUUUCGAUGGUACGGUAGUGGCCUACCAUGGUUGCAACGGGUGACGGAGAAUUAGGGUUCGAUUCCGGAGAGGGAGCCUGAGAAACGGCUACCACAUCCAAGGAAGGCAGCAGGCGCGCAAAUUACCCAAUCCCGACUCGGGGAGGUAGUGACAAUAAAUAACAAUGCCGGGCUAUGUUAGUCUGGCAAUUGGAAUGAGUACAAUCUAAACCCCUUAACGAGGAACAAUUGGAGGGCAAGUCUGGUGCCAGCAGCCGCGGUAAUUCCAGCUCCAAUAGCGUAUAUUAAAGUUGUUGCAGUUAAAAAGCUCGUAGUUGGAUUUCGGGGCAGCCCGUCUGGUCCGUCGCGAGGCGAGUACUGGUCGUGCGCCCUUCCUCUCGGAGGCCCCGACUGCUCUUCGUUGCAGUGGUCGGGGAGUUCGGGACGUUUACUUUGAAAAAAUUAGAGUGUUCAAGGCAGGCCGUCGCCUGAAUACGUUAGCAUGGAAUAAUGGAAGAGGACCUCGGUCCUAUUUUGUUGGUUUCCAGGGCCGAAGUAAUGAUUAAGAGGGACAGUUGGGGGCAUUCGUAUUUAAUUGUCAGAGGUGAAAUUCUCGGAUUUAUGAAAGACGAACAAGUGCGAAAGCAUUUGCCAAGGAUGUUUUCAUUAAUCAAGAACGAAAGUUGGGGGUUCGA
rnacentral:rRNA from 1 species